AUUCUACACCCCUCCACCGUUUCUCUUGUAUCACGUAGAGAGAGAGAGAGAGAGAGAGAGAGAGAGAGAGAGAGAGAAGAAGAAGAAGAAGAAGAAGAAGAAGAAUUGGGAAAUUGAAGGAUCGGGGGACGAGUCUCCACCUCAAGGUUGAGAAGGAGGCGUUUCGCUUUUGUCUUUUGAAUCUCUAAGGUAACUGAAGUAGAGUUUUGGUCCACUACUGGUCGAACAGGCUGUAGGAGUGGAGGCGAGGGUUGACUUGGUGUCCUUUUGGCAUAGUACAUUUUGUGAUAUCAAUUUUUGGAGAGUUGUCGUACCUUAUGUGGAUGCAACUCAUCUUGUAAAGUUCUCUUGUAAAUUUUAUUUUGGAAGCCGGUUGUAAUAUACUUAGUUGACAUUGUCUUGCGUUUAUGGAAUGAAUUUCAUUAAGGUUGAUGUUAA